rnacentral:lncRNA from 1 species
CAUCUUUUAUGGGUUUUGCCUGUUCAAAUAUGUUAUUCAGGUAAGAUUUUUUAAAAUUUCUUUUUAAUUUUUGAGACCUUUUAAAAUAUUGGCUUCCUUAGAUGUUAUAUAUGUUUCAAAAUUUUCUCAAUUUGUUACUUUUUUUUCAGUACUAGGAAUUAAAUAGUGCAUGCUAGGCAAGUGUUCCUCCACUAAACUACAUCCUUAGCCCUUUUUAAAAUUUUUAUUUUGAGCCAGGUAUGGUGGAGCAUACUUGUAAUCCCAACUACUCAGGAGGCUGAGGUAGGAAGAUCACAAGUUCAAGGCCAGCCUGGGAAGUUUGCAAGACUGUGUUUCGAAAUAAAAAAUAAAAAUGGUAGGUGUAUAGCUCAGUCAUAGAGCAUCCUAGGUUUGAUACCCAGUACCAAAAAUAAGCUCAUAAAUAAAUAAAAUUAAAAUAAAUAGACAUUUGAAAUAAGGUCUUGCGAAGUUUUCCAAGCUGAUCUCAAACUCUCAAUCCUCCUACCUCAGUCUCCUGAGUAGCUAAGAUUACAGGCAUGUGCCACUGCACCCUAUUUAUUUUAAUUUUUAAAAAAAAAAUUUUAUUUGUCAAUGGACCUUUAUUUUAUUUAUUUAUAUGUGGUGCUAAGGAUCCAACCCGGGCCUCACUUGCUAGGCAAGUGCUCUCCCACUGAGCCUCAACCCUAGCCAUUUAUUUUGUUAUUUUUUUAUGGAAGUAUAUCAUUUCUACAGAAAAGUGUACAAAUUUUGCAUAUACAUCUUAAAUUGGAAAGUUGCCUUUUUUAAAAGUAUUUUUUUAGUUGUAGAUGGACUUUUAUUUUAUGUGUUUAUAUGCAGUGCUGAGGAUCGAACCCAGGGCCUCAUACAUGCUAGGCAAGUGCUCCACCACUGAGCCACAGCCACCACUGAUGCCUUUUGAUCAGCAUCCAGCUCAUGAAAUAGCUUUUUAGAUCUUAAAGGGGUCCCUUGUGAGCAAGGGUGGUUGUGUACACCUGUAGUCGCGGUAACUCUGGAGGCUGAGUCAGAAGGUUCAUAUGUUCGAGGCUAGCCUAAGCAACUUAGACCCUGUUUAAAAUAAAAAGGAUUGGGGUUUUGACUCAGUGGUAAAGGACAUUUGGUUCAAUCCCCAGUACGGGGUCGGGGGAGUGUUCCUAGUCACUAUCCUGACAUCUCAUACCAUGGAUCAAUUUUGGUUUACUUUUGAUUAUAGUGUCUUUGGCUAGAUUGAUUGAUUAUUUAUUUGAGACAGGAUCUCUCUUGAUGCUCCAGGUGGCCUUGAACUCCUAUCCUCAAGUGAUCCUCCCACCUCAGCCUCCUGAAGAGUUGGGACUAUAGAUGCUCUUACUGUGCCUGGCAUGAUCAAUUUUUAAAAUUCAUCAGUCAUUUAUUUUAUGACCUUUGGAUUUUAUGUGUGUUUUGAAUGGCUUUCCUUUAUAAAAAUCAUCUGUCAAGAAUUUCUUCUAGUGCGGGUUAAUUUUUUUCUUAAUAUCUCCACCUUCAACCUGCUUGGAAUUUGUUACGGGCUGAGAUAUAUAGGAGAUUAUGGGUGUCAUAUCUUCAGAGUCUGGAGAUGGGUUCAUGGGCAACAAGGAAGAUUUUAAAUAUCUCUUCUCCCACCAAACUCAGCUUCCUGAAAGCAGGGUCUUGCUGCACCGUUGGGCCAAACCGUACCCUGUGGUACAUGGGAGGGACAGGUAGACUCUGGGCUGGAUACUGCAGGAAUUCCACCUGGUGGAAAGACUCUUGGGUAUCCCCAGAGAAGCUGCGGAGGAGAGACCACAUUGGUGGCUGUGGAGAAUGGAGCCUGGGGACCAAGGGGCAUGUGUAUCAGGGAAGGUAGAGGAACAGGAGUUCAGCUUUGGGUGUCUAAAACUGGCGAUGACUGUGAGACCUAGAGGAGAGGCAUAAGGAGAGGCCAAGAUGCUCAAACUGCCCGACCAGGCUAGGGAAGUCAGGCUGGGGGUGGUGCUUUGGGGCCUGUGCCGGGAGCCUGAGGCCCUCUGAUCCUCCAGGCUGGCAAGAAGAGGCAGCCAGGAAGGAGCCUUGGUCGCAGCAGAGGCAAAAACCACACUGUGAGGUGCUGCUGGCACACUGAAGGAAGGGGGCUGAUGAAACAGGUGGUGGCUGCCUGGUGUGGGGUUGAGACAGCAGGGUGAGGACAAUGCCUG